CGAUGGAAAACAGGUUAAUAUUCCUGUACUGAUUUUUAAGUGGUACCGAGGGACGGAGAAGGGAACAGUUGGUCAAUAUUGGAUGUUGACGGAAACGUUCAAGGUGAUGAGAGAUAGAAUAAAAACUAUUCUUGAGCUGAGGCGUGAUACGGUUUUAUUCCCUGUAUGAGAGCUUUGCUCAAAUUCAAAAUGAAACUCAAUUAGUUGUCAAACUUCCUAGAAAAGCUCGAACUUCCAAUACUUAAAAAUUACCCGUACCCGAAACCGACACAGGUAGGUAGGUAGAGUAUACCAAGGGGCGCGAGAUAACUCUCUCUAAGGAACUCGGCAAAAUGGCCCCGUAACUUCGGGAGAAGGGGUGCCCUCAAUUAAGAGGGCCGCAGUGACCAGGCCCAGGCGACUGUUUACCAAAAACACAGGUCUCCGCUAAGUCGUAAGACAAUAUAUGGGGGCUGACGCCUGCCCAGUGCCGGAAGGUGAAGGAAGUUGGUUACUUGAACAUAUGUUUGAGAAAGCUGACAACCGAAGCCCCGGUGAACGGCGGCCGUAACUAUAACGGUCCUAAGGUAGCGAAAUUCCUUGUCAGGUAAGUUCUGACCCGCACGAAAGGUGUAACGAUCUGGGCACUGUCUCGGAGAGAGGCUCGGUGAAAUAGACAUGUCCGUGAAGAUGCGGACUACCUACACCUGGACAGAAAGACCCUAUGAAGCUUUACUGUAGCCUGGAAUUGAAUUUGGGCUUUUCUUGCGCAGUCUAGGUGGGAGGCGUUGAUAGUUCCUUUCCGGAGGAGCUGGAGCCGUCAGUGAGAGACCACUCUGGAGAAGCUAGAAUUCUAAUGGCGAUCCUUGAAUCAGGACGCUUGACAGUUUCAGGUGGGCAGUUUGACUGGGGCGGUCGUCUCCUAAAAGGUAACGGAGAUGUGCAAAGGUUCCCUCAGGCUGGACGGAAAUCAGCCGAAGAGUGUAAAGGCAUAAGGGAGCUUGACUGCAAGACCUACAAGUCGAGCAGGGGCGAAAGCCGGCCUUAGUGAUCCGACGGUACCGAGUGGAAGGGCCGUCGCUCAACGGAUAAA
rnacentral:rRNA from 5 species